GAUGAACGCUGGCGGCGUGCCUAAUACAUGCAAGUCGAGCGAACGGACGAGAAGCUUGCUUCUCUGAUGUUAGCGGCGGACGGGUGAGUAACACGUGGAUCACCUACCUAUAAGACUGGGAUAAUUUCGGGAAACCGGAGCUAAUACCGGCUGAUAUUUUGAACCGCAUGGUUCAAAAGUGAAUGACGGUCUUGCUGUCACUUAUAGAUGAAUCCGCGCUGCAUUAGCUAGUUGGUAAGGUAACGGCUUACCAAGGCAACGAUGCAUAGCCGACCUGAGAGGGUGAUCGGCCACACUGGAACUGAGACACGGUCCAGACUCCUACGGGAGGCAGCAGUAGGGAAUCUCCCGCAAUGGGCGAAAGCCUGACGGAGCAACGCCGCGUGAGUGAUGAAGGUCUUCGGAUCGUAAAACUCUGUUAUUAGGGAAGAACAGAUGUGGAAGUAACUGUGCACAUCUUGACGGUACCUAAUCAGAAAGCCACGGCUAACUACGUG
rnacentral:rRNA from 1 species